ensembl:processed_transcript Snhg14 small nucleolar RNA host gene 14
GGGGGGGCUGGUGAGAUGGCUCACCCGACUGCUCUUCCGAAGGUCCUGAGUUCAAAUCCCAGCAACCACAUGGUGGCUCACAACCAUCCGUAACAAGAUCUAACUCCCUCUUCUGGUGUGUCUGAAGACAGCUACAGUGUACUUACAUAUAAUAAAUAAAUAAAUAAAUCUUGAAAAACAAACAAACAAGAAAAACCAAAAAGGGAUGGUACAAUUAAAUCUAUUUAUUGAAUUAAUGGAUCAACAGUUUGUUUGACUAAGUUAAGGUGACAAGAA